UACGUAGGGUGCGAGCGUUGCUCGGAAUUACUGGGCGUAAAGCGCACGUAGGCGGCUUUCUAAGUCGGGGGUGAAAUCCUGGAGCUCAACUCCAGAACUGCCUUCGAUACUGGAAAGCUCGAGUCCGGGAGAGGUGAGUGGAACUGCGAGUGUAGAGGUGAAAUUCGUAGAUAUUCGCAAGAACACCAGUGGCGAAGGCGGCUCACUGGCCCGGUACUGACGCUGAGGUGCGAAAGCGUGGGGAGCAAACAGG
rnacentral:rRNA from 1 species